UUAAGUUCAGCGGGUAGUCCUACCUGAUUUGAGGUCAAAGGGUCAAUAGAAGGCUUCCGCCUUGCCCGAAGGCCAUUAGAAGCAGACCCGUUAGGCAAGCGCACGGCGAAUCGAAUUAACUAUCACACCGAUCACGCGAACCAAAGUCCAGCUAAUGCAUUUCAGAGGAGCCGACGACCGCCGGGGGCCAGCAAAAACCU
rnacentral:misc_RNA from 1 species